rnacentral:lncRNA from 1 species
CUUUACACAUCACACCAGGCAAAGGAGAAGCAAGCUCUAAAGGAAACCUAGCCAGGGAACUGAGGUGAAAAGAGCGUAUCUACUGAACCAUUUGCUUUUACAAGCCCGUGUGAGGAAGAUGAAAGAGCCAGAUUCCAGUUCUGGCUGUGUGUUUCCAGAGCCGUGCAAGUGUGGACAGGAGUGAGGAGGGGGAGGAGAAAACUGGUCUUUGUUGUGAAGCCACGGUC